rnacentral:rRNA from 1 species
GUGGGGAAUUUUGGACAAUGGGCGCAAGCCUGAUCCAGCAAUGCCGCGUGCAGGAAGAAGGCCUUCGGGUUGUAAACUGCUUUUGUACGGAACGAAACGGUCCUGGCUAAUACCCGGGGCUAAUGACGGUACCGUAAGAAUAAGCACCGGCUAACUACGUGCCAGCAGCCGCGGUAAUACGUAGGGUGCAAGCGUUAAUCGGAAUUACUGGGCGUAAAGCGUGCGCAGGCGGUUUUGUAAGACAGGCGUGAAAUCCCCGGGCUCAACCUGGGAAUUGCGCUUGUGACUGCAAGGCUGGAGUGCGGCAGAGGGGGAUGGAAUUCCGCGUGUAGCAGUGAAAUGCGUAGAUAUGCGGAGGAACACCGAUGGCGAAGGCAAUCCCCUGGGCCUGCACUGACGCUCAUGCACGAAAGCGUGGGGAGCAAACAGGAUUAGAUACCCCAGUAGUCC